rnacentral:rRNA from 1 species
UACGUAGGGGGGCUAGCGUUGUCCGGAAUCAUUGGGCGUAAAGCGCGUGUAGGCGGCCCGGUAAGUCCGCUGUGAAAGUCGGGGGCUCAACCCUCGAAUGCCGGUGGAUACUGUCGGGCUAGAGUGCGGGAGAGGCGAGUGGAAUUCCUGGUGUAGCGGUGAAAUGCGCAGAUAUCAGGAGGAACACCGAUUGCGAAGGCAGCUCGCUGGAACGUAACUGACGCUGAGACGCGAAAGCGUGGGGAGCAAACAGG